rnacentral:lncRNA from 1 species
CCCUUCUUUUGUAACUUUACUGCUAUUAAGCCACAAUCUAGUAGUAGUUUCUAGAUGUAUUGCUGAAUCCCUGUUUUAUAUGUUGCGCAAGUCCUAUUACUGUUGAAGUUGAAUUAGGGGUCAGUAACUAGCCAGACUUUUGAUUAUGAGAACUAGCUGGCAGUACCUUUGGGGAUGUAAAACACCACAAAUUAAUUUUUUUCAGUCGGAGUC